AAAUAGCUUAAGUGUAACCUGAGUCAGAAAAAUCCUACUUGCUGAUUCAGCAGAUUUCUUCCCCUGCCCCCACCUCUGGGUUUCAUUUUCAGUUGGAUCACAGGUUCAAGAUUACCAGAACCAAGAAAAUUAAGAGGUAGGGAAUAUGUGCUCAAGAACAGCAUGUGAGAAAGUGGAGGGUCAAGUCACCCAUGAAACAGCAUCCACUAUGCAUGUGUAGGAAUAGAAAACUGUGUAUUACGCUGCCCAUCAAACAUUCCAGUUACACUGCAGUGCUCUUCUGAAGAUCAAAAGGUGACCAGCACUUCAGUGAACACUGGAUUUAAAACCAACACAUGACUCCAUUCAGAACAGAUGCAAAUUCAGCUUCAGGAAAAGUGAUGCAUAUUUAAUCAAGUUCCUCAAACACAAUAAAGUACAAAGAAUGCUUGAAAUGAGAAUAAAUUUACUUCAUUUAAAUCUUUUAACCUAAUUACAGUAUUCAUUGAAAAUACUUGAU